GCCCUGCGCGCGCGGCGGGCUACGGGAGGCAGCAGUGAGGAAUAUUGGUCAAUGGACGUAAGUACUAGAACCAGCCAAGUAGCGUGCAGGACGAAGGCCCUAUGGGUUGUAAACUGCUUUUAUGCGGGGGUAAAGUGAGUGACGUGUCAUUCAUUGCAAGUGCCGCAAGAAUAAGGACCGGCUAAUUCCGUGCCAGCAGCCGCGGUAAUA
rnacentral:rRNA from 1 species